rnacentral:lncRNA from 1 species
CUCGGACGAUACGGGGAGAUUGAUGUCAGGUGGCCUGGAGAGAAUCAAGGGUCUAUUCAACUCUCGGUCCAACUCAUCAUGCAUUAAAGAACCUGAAUCCAUAGACAAAAGUGUAGAAGGGUGAUAAUUCUCCAUUGACAAGGUCGUUAUGAGAUCUUCCCCCAUUCUUUUCUCCUUCUCUUUGUUUCCUUCUCUUUGUUCUCUUCUAAUUUCCUUUAUGAACGUCCUCAAAAGAAGACCCCUGACAUCUUUCAAACAAUUCAGAUGCAACCCACCAAAUAAACUCGCAAAGCCUUCGAUCAGUCAACGAAACCAAACAAGCAGCUUAUCAACC